GUUGAACUUAGCUCAGUGCAUCCACUGGCAAGGAGGUGGUAGCAGGAAAUAGGCAUGUGGUGACUUCAGUAACAGAGACGACUGCAGGGCUGACCUAAGCUUAGUAGCCUGGCUUCUCCGGGAGCUGAGGGGUCAUCAAGACAGGAGGAUAUGAGGCAGAAUCACCACACAAGCUAACCUGAUGUACAUAUGACAUUAAUCCAAUAGACUUAGGAAUAAGAUACAGGGGGUUUUCCUGAAUGAUUCGAGUAUAUCCCCAUUCAUAUUAAGAAAACAAAGUAUUGGCCAAGCGUGGUGGCUCACGCCUGUAAUCCCGGCACUUUGGAAGGCCGAGGCCAGUGGAUCACCUGAGAUGGACUCAACGACUCUCUUACCGUCCAGCUCUCAAGUCCCUUCUCUUGUGAAAAUGGAAAAGUUGAACUACAGUUGAGAUAUUAUUCCCAGGUGUUCUUUGGAACACAGGGGAUUUCUCCAAAAGGCACAGAACAAAUUGCCUCCAAACAGCCAAGAUUCCAGCAGAAGCUGGAGUAGCAGACUACUUGGAUCUUCAAAGUACCUGGCCCUGAGUCAGUUAAGGAAGAUCUUUUCUUCUCUUUUGUACAAUCCUAUGAUGAGAGCUGCAAAGUGAACUGACUAAGAGCUUCUGCCUUGAUCAUUGACCUCCCAAUCCUAAUAAUAUGUUCACUGGCCAAACUUCCUAAUCGAUUUGUCUUUUGGAUAUAACGUUCCUCCUACUGUUUGCCUGAUUGAGAAAUCUGCUACAGAACAUGACCGGUUAGCAUUCCCACCAACCCCAGUGCUACACUGACUGUCUUUCGAUGGACUUUGCUCCUUGCUGCCUCUCUGAGGUCCCAGACCUUCAGAGUGACCUUCACAGCUCUGCCUAACUUUCUGUCAUACUUCUAUCAAGAGAGACAGCUAAAUCAAUAUUUUUAAUGUGCUUUGCUGUCGGAAUUCGAUGAUCUGUCACAGUUCUUGCCCAAUACACCCCAUCAUUAUUGUUAAAAUGUUUUUAGCUUUGUUUGUAGAAUUGCUUUAACUGGUUUCAUCUCUGGGAGCUACACUUUGAAAUAUAACUUUAGCAACAUUUUACUAUACUUUUUCACAACCCAGAGCAGUACUAUUUUAUGCUUAGUGGUUAAACUAAUUCCAUAAAUCUUUUGCAACUAUCCUCUAUUCUUUUUCUUGUAAUUUUUACCUGGGAAGGUUUUUACUGAUAAUCAUCCUAUCCUGAGUCAUCCCACAAACCAAUCUGUCUCACUAAUCAUUGCUUCUAACCUACAGACUAAGCAUAACUUCUGCUAAAUGAUCUUUGAUAAGAUGCUAUGACUCUAUAAAGUCUUUGAUAUUCAUGUCUAAAUUUAAUCACUUGUAGAUUUUCAUAGAAUCAAUCUUUCACUUCUACAAUUGGGAGUAUUUAUAAGUUGUUUAUCUUAAACAGUUCCUCUAUCACGCUUUUCACGUUAAAUAAAGCAAUCCCUUCAAAUCAAUUUUCUGUCAUGUCUAAGAUGU
rnacentral:lncRNA from 10 species